CACAAGAUCCUGAAAGACUGACAGACAGCAGGUCUCAUAACAAUUCAGAAGGCCUGAAACCAUUUCCUAUCCCAGUGUUGGUGGAAUUUAAGAAAGUUAACAUUUGGGAGCAGAGAACGCAAGUUUAUCUGGCAGAGAGCUCCAGCACUGGGAGCUCCAACAUCACCGCUCCUGAAGACUGUCCUCCUAACUGCAGCUCCCCAACACAUGCCACAUAGAAUCAUUAAGGUUAGAAAAGACCAAGAUCACCUACUCCAUCAACUUCCAGGAUUUUACUACCAGCUCAAUCUGAAAUUCCACUGUUCAUCAAUACAAACGUUAGAAUGGUGCUGAAUGCCUGCAAGUCCACUCACCCUCCAACUCACAAGGAGACACUGAGUGCUGAUAGGCUGCAUCCCAGUUACAAGCACAUUAUGAUUCUAAAAGAAAGGGUGCUGCCAGGUGUGGGUUGGUGAGACAAGUAAGAGAUGAGUGCUCACCUGGAACACAGAGCAAGGUAGAAAGGAAGACUACAUCCAGCAUCUUUCCAUUCAUUUUUGUGGAAGCUCUCGGGCCCUGCAGACAGGCCCAGGAUGGGAAGAGUCUCAGCUUCCAACACGCACCAGUACCUAGCAGACCAGAAAGGAACAGGAGUUCUGGUGGAUCUUCUGUGAAAGAAAAUCUAGUAAAAACAGCUCAGGUUGGA